rnacentral:lncRNA from 1 species
CGCCAUUCUCCCGUGUUCACGCCAUUCUCCCGCCUCAGCCUCCCGAGUAGCUGGGACUACAGGCGUCCGCCAUCACACCCAGCUAAUUUUUCGUAUUUUUAGUAGAGACGUGUUAGCCAGGAUGGUCUCUAUCUCUUGACCUCGUGAUCCGUCCGCCUCGGCCUCCCAAAGUGCUGGGAUUACAGGCGUGAGCCACCGCGCCUGGCCUUUUAUUUCUAUUCUUUUAGUAGUCUAGAAGAGGACUGCCAUUUAUUUUUAAUGCUGUGUCGGUAAUGCUGCUAGAAAUAUUCUUCACGUGUCAAAUGGUGCACCGAUGCAAGAGAUUUCUACCACGUAAACCCAAAACUGAAGUUGCUGUAUUGUAAGUGUUGAGGUGAGCAAGUUCUACAGCAGGCAGAUCAGCAAAUGGAUGAGGAAUGGUGGUGCCUUAGACCAGCCUGAUAACAGGAGAAGUGUUUGCAUACCAGAUACAUGUUGAAGGUCAGCCCUAUGCAUUAUGAGUGGAUGGAGGAAAUAUACAACAGUGUGAAUACUCAAGAGAUGGGAAAAAAAUCAUGUUUGCGUGCUGACAGGAAGUAGGAAGCGGAAAAUUUGAUAAUACAGUAAGAAGAGGGGAAAAGCUCUCUGUAGCAGCGUCCUGGAGUCGGAGAUAAAGUGUGGAUGGACGAUCCAACCCUCGUAAAGUGAGGAAAGGCAGAGUUAAUAGGCACAGAUGGAGGGAAAGAAACUUGUGUAUGGCACAGUGGAAACAAUGAAGUUGAAGGGUACGGCUUAAUGGAUGAUGAAAAUGAGAUGUUCGGGGGACAAGAGAGGGAGAUGAUGCUGCCAUUCGGAGUCGCUGGAUAUGGAAUGGGCCACCUGAAGAACUAUAAAUGUGUUUUCACUGGAGACUGUCCUCAAAGAUUAUACCCACCUUUCAUAAACAUAAUACCUUGCAUUCUGUUGCACCAGUGGACACCGCACAGACCAGCAAUCUGGCUCAGCCAAUUCUGUGAUUCCACCCAGCAACACAAGACAGCAGGCAAGGUCCAGCUCUGUCACCCACACUGGACUUCGGUGGUACAAUCCUAGCUCACUGCGGCCUCGAACUUCUGGGCUCAAGUGAUCCUCCAGAUUCUGACAGAAGAUACAGAUGGAACUCAUUGGUCAGAGAUCACUCACAUCAUAGCAAGCAGCAUGAGCUUCAAGUUUAUGUUGCUUUCUCUUACCCUCCAAGUCCCUGAGGAGUGAUAUGAAGUGGCUCAGAUACAUGUUGUAUACACAGUAGGUUUAUGUCACAAAUGAAGAAGCCCAAGCUUAAGGAACUGAUUUUUAAUAAUAGGUGCAAGCAAAAUGCUUCAAAAGGUAUAAUUUUUUGAAAGAAUACUGGAGAAUGAACAAAUAUGCCUUCUGCUUCAGGAGAAGAUACUACCUGUACCUUUCAAAGUACUUCACUAUGUAAGCAAUAACAGUUUAGAAUAGAAACUAUCAGUGCUUCUGCUUACAAAACAUACAAUACAAAACUGUAUAGAAAAUUGUCUCCCAACAAAACUGUGGUAUCUGAAUAGAAAAAAUAAUAGGUCAAUACUGUUGAUAAAACAAUGAUAUUUAAUUUAAGCUAUAGUAUAAAUUUGAAAGUAUAUAUUAAUAAGUUGAGUCAAAGAAUUUAGAUAUUUAAUUGGCCUUGGUUUGGUUCUAGAUAUUCAUGUUUAAUUAACUUAAGCUCUAGUAGUAACAGCCAAUAUAUUAUAUCAAUGUUUUAUUUAGUAUUGAUAGCAACAGGAGGCAGGCAAAUUCCUAGGCAGACAGGGAUAGGUCACCAGUCAAACUUGACCUUCAAGCCAAGAACAGUCUAAAGCAUGAAAACUAAGCUACCAGUUCCAGAUAAAAUCCUUGGACCAGAGUGAGAACUCCCAUUCCCAUUUGGCGUGCUUUCUCCCAAUUGCUCAAAAGUCAGAAGUCAAAAAUUAAGGUUUUGGAACCUCUGCCUAGAUUUCAGAGGAUGUAUGGAAAUGUCUGGCUGUCUAGGCCCAAGUUUGCUCCAGGGGUGGAGCGCUAAUGGAGAACCUCUGCUAGCACAGUGAGGAAGAGAAAUGUGGGAUUGAAACCCCAACACAAAGUCCCCAAUGGAGCACUGCCUAGUGGAGCUAUGAGAAGAGGGUCACCAUCCUCCAGAUCCCAGAAUGGUAGAUCCACUGACAGCUUGUACCAUGCACCUGGAAAAGCCACAGACACUCAAUUCCAGCUUGUGAAAACAGCCGGGAGUGGGGCUGUACAGUGCAAAGCCACAGAGUCAGAGCAGCCCAAGGCCAUGGGAGCCCACCUCUUGCAUCAGGAUGACUUGGAUGUGAGACAUGGAGUCAAAGGAGAUUGUUUUUGAGCUUUAAGAUUUAAUGACUUCCCUAUUGAAUUUUGGACUUGCAUGGGGCCUGUAGCCCCUUUAUUUUGGCCAAUUUCUCCUAUUUGGAGUGAAAGCAUUUAUCCAACGCCUGUACCUCCAUUGUGUCCUGGAAGUACCUAACUUGCUUUUGAUUUUACAGGCUCCUAGGCAGAAGGCACUUGCCUUGUCUUAGAUGAGACUUUGGUCUUGGACUUUUGAGUUAAUGACGAAAUGAGUUAAGACUUUGGGAGACUGUUGGGAAGGCAUGAUCAGUUUUGAAAUGUGAGGACAUGAGAUUUGGGAGGGGCCAGGGGUAGAAUGAUAUGGUGAGGCUUUGCAUCCCCACCCAAAUCUCAUCUUGAAUUGUAAUCCCCAAGUGUUUAGGGGGAGACCUGGUAAGCAGUGAUUGAAUUAAGUGGGCAGUUUCCUCCAUUUUGUUUUCAUGAUAGUGUGUGAGUUCUCAUGAGAUCUGAUAGUUUUAUAAGGCAGUUUUCCCUGCUGUUGCUUGCUCUCACUCACCUGCCACCAUGUAAGACAUGCCUCUUCCCUAUCCGCCAUGAUUGUAAGUUUCCUGAGGCUUCCCCAGACAUAUGGAAUUGUGAGUCAAUUAAACCUCUUUUUUUAAUAAAUAAAUUACCCAGUCUCAGGUAUGUCUUUAUAGCAGUUUGAAAAUGGAGUAAUACAGUCCCACAGGAAGAGACAUCAAGAACUUUAAGUGUUCUCAGAUUUUACUUCACAUACAAGCUUGCCUGUCCUCUGUUUUGCAGAGAGACAGUAUCUCUAUCUUCUAAGCCUCCAACAUAUAAACAUUCUUGAGACACUUUCAAAACGACAGUUAGUUCCUCACUUGAAAGACAUGUAGAAAUAUGAGAUAAGGGUUGGUUAUAAAUAUAAAACAGAGAAAAAACGAAAACAUUAAAGACACUUGGCAUAAGUGGAAAGAGGUUCCCAGAGCAGAAGCUAUCUUUUCACAGUAACUUGAAGGCUUAUACAGACUUUUUUAAUCACCUUAUGAAAAGGCAGAAAAUGGUGAGUGUAUAGAAAAGCAGUGUUUAUAUGUAGGAUUUUAAAAAAAAAUUUUCAUAGGUUUUUGUUGCUUUUUAAAAUAUUACCUAAAGCAUAAAGCCCUAUAUAGGUAAUGUGAUUGUUUAUUUUGUUUUCUACUUUAUCUGUAUAACUUAUGACAUAAGCAGGCAAUAAACAAACAUAAUCUGAAUAAAUGAAUGAGGGCCAUCUUUAAACCUUUCAUUGUAUGUCUAUGAAACAAUAAUUUAUUUAUGUGCUAUAAGCCAUUAAAUUGGUGGAGAAUGACAUUCAUUUCUCUGGCAGGAGAAUAUUCUGACUAACCUAUUUUCUUCCCAUUUCCUCUGAGUUUUAUAAUUAUAUAGAAAUAUCUGAUAAAAUCUGAGGUUUAGUGAGGCCUUGAUAUAUAAUAUAUAAAUGUAAUAUUUUAUAAUUCCUCUGUUAAAAUAGUCUUCUUAUAUCUUAUUUAAUUAGAGGUUACAAGACAGAGAGGUAGGUAGUUGCCUGCAUAUUAAAGUAAAAGUUAAAAAUUUUUGAGUACUGUAAAGGAACAUAUCAAUUAAAGAGCAGUCUUCAAAUUAUUAACCUGAAAUACUAAUGAUAGAGUAUAUGUGAAACAAAGGUGAUAUCCAAGUUAUGUAAAUAACCUCCCUAAGAUAAAUAGGCCAUAUUACCUAAGGCAUAAAGCCCUAUAUAAGUAAUGUGAUCGUUUAUUUUAUUUUCUACUUUAUCUGUAUAACUUAUGACAUAAGUAGGCAAUAAAGAAACAUAAUCUGAAUAAAUGAAUAUAUCUUUGAUGCUUUACCUGAAAUUCUGCAUUUAUUGGUUUAUCCUUCAAAGAGUCCUUCCAGUGCUCCAUGGAUGCCCAAGGUAUUCUGUGCCACUGCAUUCUUUACUAGCUUCUUUCACUAAAAUCUUUUAGUCUCCUUUGUUGCUCAGAGAGAAAUUUUAUUGCUAUUCACAUGUUCCCUGUGUUAGCACAAAAUACAGACUUCACCGGGGCUUUUUUAAUCUGCCACCUUCUUAGAGUCUCUGUUUUCUUUCCUUAGGGCUAAAACAGAGUUGGCCAAAUUGAACCACCUCUUGGAUUUUUCAGGGCCAAAGAAGAUACAUGUAGUCUGAAAUCAACCUUAGUCCAACAUGAACACAUUAGUUGCCCAGAAGCAAGCUAUUCACAUUUGAGAACUUCCAAAUUGGUGAAUAUAAAUGCAACACGCUACAUGAUUGCAAGAGUGUUCAUUGUUCUUUUUUACUAUAUUAAAGCUCUAAUCAGAGCUUUGAAGUACAAUUAAAACAUAAAACAAGGAACACUAAUGCAAUGGAACUCAUUUGAAAGGCAUGCAUUUCAGUUCAGAAGAAUGAGUAGGGAUUAGUCAUGACGAAUGGCAAAAAAAGGACACCAGGCAGAGGUAACAUAAAUCUUCCGCAGGCAAUUUGUGGUGAAGAAGAUUCAAAGCUUAAUAAACAGAUAAAAGGUCAGGAUUAAUUGGGUGGAAUGGGCAAGAGGGGAAAAGGAGAAAGAUGCAGAUAAAAAGGAGCCAACAUGAACUUAAGUUCAAUGUCUUCUAUUAUUUCUCUUACAAUUAAUUUUCUCUUUCUGUUUUCUUGGUAAAUUUCUUUUCCCCUGCAACUCCCAGAAUAAAACAUAUAUUCUCAACUAUUUCUCUAUACUUAUUUAUUUACUUAUUUGUUUGUUUGUUGUUAUUCUUUUGUUUGAAUGCAUGUAUAUAUGUGUCUAUAUGUGUUAGAAACUAAGGCUGGGAAAAAUGUUUAUCACAUUUGGAUAUCAUGUGUGAGAUUCACAAUGUUGUCUAAUUCUUACAGAGGGCUUAGGAUGCCCAGAUAUGCUUUUUCUCAUUCACCUAACAUAUAUUUAUUUUUAAAGUAAAAGUUUAAAUGAAACAUUAGAUUUCUUAUAUGCCUUUUAAAAAUGUGAUGUCUACAUAGGUAUACUUAGAGAAAUAUACACAGAUUAUCAAAAACAUACAUUCUGAAGUAUUUUCUGAAUGUGAAUACACUUGUGAAAUGAACAUCCUAAUAAAAAAUAGAAUUAAUGUCAUAUGGAUCCAAAAUUUGCUUCUUAAAAAUAAUUAAUGAACUGAAAGAUUGCACUUACAUUUUUAGAAAGUUAGGAUGGAAAAGGCUUUUCAAACUGUGUCUCAAAAUUCAGAAACCAUAAAGAAAUUUGAUAAAUGUUACUACAUAGACUAUUAAACAUAAAUAGACAUGAUUAAAAUAUGGCAUAAUCAAAGUCAAAUAAAAAAUGGGAAUAUAUAUUUGUAGCCAAUAUCAUAAAUUAAAAAUGAAUUUCCUGAAUUAUACAUACAUACACCAAUAAACCAAUAGAAAAAAUGGCAAAUAAGUAGACAAUUCAGAGAAAAUAAAAUGCAAAUGACCCUUGACAUGUAAAAAUAUCAUCUAUGAGAGAAUUUAAAAUUAAGACCACACUGAGCAACAAAUUUCUUAAUAAUUUGGUGAAAAUAGAAAAGUUUGAUCACAUUGUUCUACUUGCCAAAGCUUUAUAUUAUAUAUUGCUGGCAGUAUGCUUUGGUACAUCCCCAGUGAAAAGCAGUAUGUUUACAGACAUACACUCUUACCAAGAGUGCUACAAUUCUACUCCUGGGAAUUAUCCUAUUGAUGUAUUAUAGUCACACACAUAAAAAUAACACAGAGGAAUACUUACUGCAAAACUUUAUGACAACUAAAGAUAGGAAACAAGCUAGUGUCUAUUAAACUAGAGAAGAUCUGGAAAGCUGUAAAAGGCACUAUGUGGUUGGUGAGACAUUGUUCAGGGGUUAGUGAGACAUUGUUCAGGGGUUGGUGGGGGUCUCACUGCAGAAGCAAAGAGAUUGGACACAGCCUUUUCUUUUGCUACUAUGUUGAAAAUAGAUGUGUGGAGAAAAAUAACAUAUAAUAUUUCUGUUCUGCACCCUCUUGUAGUCAGAAAUACUAUCUAGAGUUUUACCAUCAAUUUUAUUUCUUAUACUGUAUUUUAAUUUUGCCUUUUUACUUUGUAAGUAGUAAUUAUAUGGUGUGUAAUCUAUGUGUGUGGCUUCUUUUAUUUUUUAAAUUUUAUGAUACAUAGUAGAUAUAUAUAUUUAUGGAGUACAUGAGAUGUUUUGAUACAAGCAUGCAAUGUGAAAUGAGAACAUCAUACAGAGAAUGGGAUGUUCAUCUCCUCAAGAAUUUAUCCUAGGUGGCUCCUUUUAAAUAAUGAUAUGUUUGUGAGAUUAAUCUAUAGGUUGUUGUGUUUUAUUGUUUAUUCCUUUGUAUAUAUACACACCUACUAUAUUGAGUGAAUAUGGUAUAAUGUAUUCAUUAUAAUUUUGGCUACCGUCUAGAUAUGUUUGAUAGAAAUAUCUGGAUAGUUUCCAGUUUGGGGCUGUUGAGAAUAUAUACUGCUCAAAGAUACACAAUGCUGGUAUGAUCAUUCUAGUAAAUAAAUUUUUGUGAAAAUAUGCAUGCAUAUCUGUUGCUUAUACACCCACGAGUGGAAUUUCUUGUUCUUUCCAUGUCUAUCUGAGCCCAAAGAAUGUAUUACUUUUUCAAAAAUUAAAAUUUGAAGUAAACAAAUAGAAAUAAACAAAAACAUAAAAAAUUAAUAGCAAGACCAUAUCAGCUUAUGAUUUCUAAGAGUUCUACUUGCUCUGGACUUCAUCUUUCAAAAGUCAUAGAAAAAAUACUUACUUUUAGAAUUAAUAACUAUACAAUUUGUCUUCUUGAUGUCCAUCAUAAUUUUCCUAGUGAUUCAACAUGUUAAUUUUCUUUGUAAAGAUCACUGAAGAAAAUUUGCCAUGUGAUUCACAUCCCUAGCUAAUAUUUAUCUGCUGUGUGAUGACAUGAGAAUAAAUACAAAUUAUUUUGAUAAAUGAACUUACAUUCAUGCAAAUAACUUGAAGUCCUUAGUGCUGAACUUAUUCUUUUACUUGAGGCUUUUUCCUAUGUGUUUAUUUAUGUAUCUUCAACUGGUUAUAUGAAUUGAUUUUUUUUCCUGCCCUCUGCUUUUUUUAAAAAAUAUUCCAAGUGGCCAUGAGAGUCAUUUCUUGGGAAACAUUGUAUAUAGUAUAUGGUUGGUGGUUCAGGCAGAAGCAACAGUCCAUAAAGUGUCAUGAACACAUAGUUUAAGGAAGGAUCAUCGUUACUGCUUUUCUGAACCCGAUGACAGCCUCCAAAUCAUCCAAAGCUCUUCUCUUAAAAUUGCCCCUGGAAUAUGGGCUUCUCAGAUUCAAUUGCUUAGAAAUAUAUGAAUAUCUGUCUUCUCUCAGUUUUACAUUGAAUUUCUCAUCAUUUGUUAUGGAAACUUUUAUAUAAAAAAGAAGCAAACAGGUCUACUCCUUUAAAUAUCAUGUAUUUGAGGGAUGUAGAAGUGCCAGAUGAUUAUUGUAACUAUAUAUUUGAAUUCCUGCAUAUUACUUGAAGACUUUUAAUAAGAAAUUGAUCCCAACUCUAUAAUACCAUUUUAGAAAUAUGCUAUGGCUUUAUGAGUAGUUUUGUUGUACGUAUUAAAUAAAAUUUAAACCUUUAACUUGUAUUUAUCCAGUUAUCUAUUUGCGUUUGAAUGAGCCACAUGGUAAAGAAAAAAAGAAAAAAGAUAUAUAAUUACAAAUGCCAAAAAAUAUAGUGGUUCAAUAUGUUUCUACUUUAUAUAAAAGUAAGCAAUUGUAGAAUUGUUUAAAAUAUAUUUAUUGUAUUUUAGUGUAACUAUUGUAUUCAUUUUUUGUUAGUAUUUUCCUAGGCCAAAGCUAGGUCUGCCUUUUUCUCCUCUUUGGUAAUGUCCACAUCUAAAUGCACCACACCAUAGCCAGUGAUCACAAGCAAUUCAAAGGUGUAUUAGUCAAGUAUCUGCCAAGCAAUGGAGCUCCUGCAAGAGGAGCUCCACCAGGGAGUAUUGACUUCUAGACUCUCUAAUGUCCUGGAGGAUGGUGGAGAGCCAGUGAAAAAGGAAGGAGGAAGAGACGAAGGAGGGGAAGAGAGAUGGGGCUUCAUAGCAGAAGUGACUAGGUCUGAGGAGUCUGAAGGUGUCCACCCUGACAAGUGUUAAUGGUUUAAUCAGAUUUUAUCUUGUCUGUUAGUGACUUUUCACCUUCAACUUUAUUUCUGCAUAUAUACAGCAUAUAUACACACACACAUACAAUAUUGCAUUUCCUGCUUCUCCCUUCAUUUUCAUUUGCUCACUUGAAAGACCAAAGGUGAAAUGUAGUAUAUUUGUAUGCUAAUUUGUUUCUUCUUUUAACUAGAGAAAAAUUUGAAAUGUUUAUAUUUUGCAUACAGUAUGAGUCAUCAACAAAGUAUUAAAGUAUUUAGAUGUAUUGUCACUCUUAGGCCUUAUAAUUAGUAUCAAUCUAUUUUAUAUUUUAUUUUGUGUUAUCAGUUGUGAUCUCUUUUGAUAAUUAAAUGACUAGAAAAUAAAAAGUACAUAAUUUCAGAAUGUAGAAUUUCCUUGAAUAUCAAAACAUCGGUAUAUUUAUUCAUAUUGUCACCUUAAGACAGAUAUUUUUACUUGGAAAAUAGCAUAUGAGGAUGAGCAUCAUGUGGGAGCAUUGCUCAUAAAUUAUAAACUCUGGUAGCUGUUUAUUAAAUUUCAAUGAAAAAUAUCAUAAAUAUUGUUUGUCCUUGUUAAUUGGGAUGUAUGUUUGGCACUGAAAUGUUGAAAUUAAAUGUCUUAUUUUCAGUGUUUAUCUUACCUGAUGAGUUUUGUGCUCGUUGUGAUUAUUGACCAAUCUCUCUAUUCAGACUCUCCUAUCUAUUGACUUCUUCUCUUCCAGGCUCUCAGAACCCUUUCAAUAUGGAUUAUCCUUCUUCAUCCAUUGAAUACUGGUAUUCACUAAUGUUCUAUUUUUUAAUUGAGGACAGAACUAGGUUUGAGCAUCAGUCUGUCUUCCACUGUACAUUUUACAUAUCUGGUGUGUAAUAGAGGCUAUGCAUAUUUUAUUUUUUAAAAGGACAACAUUUCAGAUCCAUUCAUAAGAGCACAUUAAGGGAUAAAUGUUUUCUAUUCCCAGAGAAAAGAGAAUAAUUAGGCCAGUCAUUGCAAUAAUCUCUUGUGGUUUUUUGUGUGUGUAUGUGUGUGUGUAGGGGGAACAUACAUGUACGUGUCCAAUCUUGCUUUGCGCUACGGCUACUUUUAUGACCUGUAUAUUGAAAUAAAUCAUUUUCCUGAUUUAAACCUUCAGUGAUACCCUGUCACAUUUUAAAUUAUUUUCUCCAUCAUAAUUUGGUCUAUGUCAACUAUUAUUUCUUCAUCUCUCAUAACUCCCUAAACACCAAACUGCCUAUGGUUACUUAAACAUGCAAUGCCCCCAUAAUCCUAAUAAUAAAUAAUAAAUUAGAUAUGUAUUAUUUAUUUAGACAUUUAUUAUAGGCACAAUAAUAAGUUAAACAUUUAUUAGACAAUUAUUUUAAUUCAGGUUCUGCACAACCAGACCCAGAUACAAGUUGUGAGUGCAAGCGGCUUAUUUGGGAGUUGAUAUCAGAAAAUAUAGAAAUGGAAAAAUGAUACAGGGAAAAGAAUGAAGCAAAAAAAGAAUAUCCAACAAAUUACCAUUGUGGACAACUGAAGCUCAAUCCCACAUAAUGGCCAGUCUAGCUAAGAAAAGAAAGCAGCAUAUUUUUACAUUAACUCCUGUCAUCUCUAGGGUUUAUUAAUUCUCUGGAAUUCUAGUAAAUUGCUAAUUUAUCAGAAGUUAGAGAAAGACUUUAGUCAAAAAGAUUCAGGUACUGGCCUCUUUGAAGUGUUAAGAUUUGAGUAGAUAGAGGUAAAGUGUUGAAAAUAUCUGCUCGAAUAAUCUUAUUUCACAUUGUACAGCAGUUUAAUUACUUAUUUGCAUAUGUGUCUAACCUAGUAGACUGAAAUUCCCAGAAGACACAAAGUAUGUUUUUUAUUUAUCUCUGUUACAUUCUAACUCAAGAAAUGCCGACUGAAUUAACUGAAAUAUGAUGAAAUGAAAGCAAUAUGCCCUUGUGGUCCCUAUUAAUUUCUUAGCACCAUAAAAGAGCACAUCAGCCAUAUGUGUGUUCAUGUUUAUGUGUGUGUGUGUAUGUGUGUGUCUGUGUGAGGGAGAGAGAGAAAGAGAAUGCAUUUUUUCAGAAUCAGCAUAUAAAAUAAGAUCUGUAAUAGAAGACACAUUUAUUUUUUUUAAAAUAGUAGGGAAAGAAGACUGAUGGUAAAUUUGUCAGUCUAGUCUUACUUAACCUGUGAUAAAACUAGGGAUUGUGCUUUCCAAUUUUCAGUGCUGCACUGGACAGACAGUGAGUCAUCAGGUAUGGACUGAACUGUCUGGCUACAAGUUCAAUAAACAUCUUAGUUCAAUUACUUAAACUGGUAAUGAACACUGUGUGCAGUAAACAGCAUAAAAUCACUAGCUGAGGGGAACCUAUGACACAGAAGACGUUUUCCUGAAGGUUUUGUUAAUGAAAAAGCAUAAGUUUAGGAAAGAGGGAAGAGAAUAGCAAAGAAAGGAAACUGAUGAAAAUAAAGUAUGCUAAUUUUCCUUUUAAAACUGGACGCUUAACUUUCUGAUAACUUUCAAUCCAGCCCAAAUAAAGUUAGAACUUCAAAAAUCACAAAAAUAUACCGAUUCACAAAUUACUUCUGCUUUAUUUAUAUAAUUACUAUGGAAAAAACAGGUGUAGAAUACAGUUAAUAACUUAAGGAGUUUUGUUAGAGUAUAUUGCAUUAAAAAGGAGGCAUACUUUCUUAUUACUUCUGAAAUCAAUUUUGUUAUCUUUUCCCCUCUGAUAUGCAUUAAUAUUCCCUCAAAUUGCAUUUCUCUCCAACACUAGAGACUAAGAAAUACAAGAGAGGUAGAAAGAAACAUACAUUAAAUAGCUUUAGGCUAAAGAAAAUUAAAAUCUUAAUGCAACAUUAAAUAUCAACAGAAUUUUGUGAUUUUGCCAUAUGAAUGAACUGAAUUACACAAAUGUAAGCAAAGUGAUGGCAGGCAUCUAAGAAACUUAAGAAUUUAUUCAGAU